rnacentral:rRNA from 1 species
AGAGUUGAUUAUGGCUCAGGACGAACGCUGGCGGCGUGCUUAACACAUGCAAGUCGAACGAGGAUAAGCCAGAGGAGAGCUUCGGCAGGAAUCAGGCAUAUUCGAGUGGCGGACGGGUGAGUAACGCGUGAGCAACCUGUCCCAGACAGGGGGAUAACACUUGGAAACAGGUGCUAAUACCGCAUAAGACCACGGUAUCACAUGGUAGUGGGGUAAAAGGAGCAAUCCGGUUUGGGGUGGGCUCGCGUCCGAUUAGAUAGUUGGUGAGGUAACGGCCCACCAAGUCGACGAUCGGUAGCCGACCUGAGAGGGUGAUCGGCCACAUUGGAACUGAGAGACGGUCCAAACUCCUACGGGAGGCAGCAGUGGGGAAUAUUGGGCAAUGGGCGAAAGCCUGACCCAGCAACGCCGCGUGAGUGAAGAAGGCCUUCGGGUUGUAAAGCUCUGUUAUAGUUGACGAAGGAAGUGACGGUAGGCUAUAAGGAAGCCCCGGCUAACUACGUGCCAGCCGCCGC